UAAGCAUAUCAAUAAGCGGAGGAAAAGAAACCAACAGGGAUUGCCCUAGUAACGGCGAGUGAAGCGGCAACACGCUCAAAUUUGAAAUCUGGCUUCGGCCCGAGUUGUAAUUUGUAGAGGAUGCUUUUGGCGCGGUGCCUUCUGAGUUCCCUGGAACGGGACGCCAUAGAGGGUGAGAGCCCCGUAUAGUUGGACACCAAGCCUUUGUAAAGCUCCUUCGACGAGUCGAGUAGUUUGGGAAUGCUGCUCAAAAUGGGAGGUAAAUUUCUUCUAAAGCUAAAUACCGGCCAGAGACCGAUAGCGCACAAGUAGAGUGAUCGAAAGAUGAAAAGCACUUUGAAAAGAGGGUUAAAUAGCACGUGAAAUUGUUGAAAGGGAAGCGCUUAUGACCAGACUUGUUCCAGGUUGAUCAUCCAGUGUUCUCACUGGUGCACUCUGCCUGGAUCAGGCCAGCGUCGAUUUUCGUAGGGGGAUAAAGGCAUUGGGAAUGUAGCUCCUCCGGGAGUGUUAUAGCCCUUUGUAUAAUACCCUUGUGGGGAUCGAGGUACGCGCUCUGCAAGGACGCUGGCGUAAUGGUCAUCAGCGACCCGUCUUGAAACACGGACCAAGGAGUCGAGGUUUUGCGCGAGUGUUUGGGUGUUAAACCCGCACGCGUAAUGAAAGUGAACGUAGGUGAGAGCUUCGGCGCAUCAUCGACCGAUCCUGAUGUAUUCGGAUGGAUUUGAGUAAGAGCGUAUAGCCUCGGACCCGAAAGAUGGUGAACUAUGCCUGUAUAGGGUGAAGCCAGAGGAAACUCUGGUGGAGGCUCGCAGCGGUUCUGACGUGCAAAUCGAUCGUCAAAUAUGGGCAUGGGGGCGAAAGACUAAUCGAACCAUCUAGUAGCUGGUUACCCCCAAU
rnacentral:rRNA from 1 species